CCGACCACCGCCGCUGCUGGGAUCAUUCCAACAGCCGCUGAGUCGCCUCUCCAUGUUUCUUUCUUCUUCUUCUAUUACUCAGUCAGCCAUGUCGCAGGUAUCGUCAGGAUGUGACGCCGCCAUGGUCGUGGUGGGGUAUUGUCGUCAACUGUCGCCACUCCGCCGUCGCUAGUGGUUUUCAUUCAGCGAUCUCCGCCGCCAUCUCCGGCCUUUAGCGUCGUUGAUGUCGAUUCCGUCGAUCAAGUGUUUCACUGAUUCAAGGGUUCGACCUACUGUAGUGUGUUGCUACGAGAUUUGGAGCCAAAAAGGAACCAUUGCCACCACCGUGAGGUGGUGGCUGUCAGCGUGAAUCAAUUGUUGUCGCCGCCGUAUGCCACCAAGGGAAGGUGGCUGAGUUCGUUUUGCAAGUAGAAAUUUUCGGGAAUCUGUCAGCCAGCAGUUGGGGUGGAGUUUGCGGGACUUCAGCAGUGUGGGAUUGUGUCUACGGGACUUCAGCAGUGUGAGGUACUCAGUUUUCAAAAGAGGAGCUCGGAGAGGUUGCAGUGCACACACCAUUUGUUCAGCCUGGGAUGUUUAUACUCUGAUAUAUUUGACAGUUGUUAUGAUAUUUUGAGAUAUAUUGUUUAUGAUUCUUAUACGACGUCGAUGAAUAUGGUUUUAUUACUGAUUUAAAACGAAAUUUUUAGACUGUA